CUCCGGGGAACAUCAGAUCUGCCAUCACUUAGUAAAAGGCAUUUGGUGGCUUGACUCUUUUCAAUCGUAAAUUCUCUUGGUUCAUUUAAAGUUAGAGUCCAUUUUUAAGGAUUCCAUUUCCACGUGAUUUGUUGGUUUGUUUUCAGGAACAUCACUCUGUUCGUGGCUUCCAGGCUGAUGUCCCCACCUCACCAGGGGACGCCAGACGAGGAUGUUGGCCCCUGAGACUUUCCUAGGAGAAGCAUGGCUAACACCGUGGAGUGUUUCCACGGCCAGGAGCUAGCUAGCUGCUCUGUGUAUCUCAUCUGCUUUCUCUCUUACUCUCGAGAGCCAGCCUCUGAGGGAAGCAUGGUCAUUGUCUCCAUUUCUCAGGUGCGUGGGUACCCGCGGGCCACACCGGUGACCACAUGGCCCCGCAGAAAACGGGAAGGCACUGCACAGCCAGCCACUGGCAAGACAGGGUUGAGGGGAAAGCACUGCUUCUGGCCCUUCGGGCAAAUUACCUACCACAUCUGAGGCCAGUUUCUUUAUCAGUGAAAUGAAGGUAACAUCUGCUUACCUGCUAGUGGGUGCUAGUGGGACCGGCUGGAAUUCAUGAAACCCCCACGAUCAAGAAAACAAUAGAUCAAGUUUGCUCAUAUCUGGGAGCUCAUACCCCCCUCCCCCCACGGCCGCUUGUGAGCUCUCAGUGUGACAUUGCUGAGCUGAAUCAUGAAGACAGGUGCUUCUUCCCGGUAGCUGGUGUUGCCAUCGUUCAGACAGCGGGGAAAAACGGAAGAGUGUGGAUUAACGGUGAAACACGGUAGUAAUGACUGAGUUUUGAUGACUGAUUACCUCUGUUUUUACCGAAGUUCAUUAAUUUUAGUAAUGAUUGUAUUUAACAGCAAAAUUCUGAAAAUGGGGCAGUGGGUUCUUGCGGGUGAUGCUAAGCUGGCUGCAGCAGGUGUGGCCACAGGGACCCUACACCGAGGGCAGCUCUGCCCCCCAGGAUGUCCGGAGGAGAGCCAGUUGCCGGGUGUCCUCUGAGGCCCUGUGGGGUCAGGUGGUUGUUAGGGCCCUUGAAAGCCAUGAACGACCUAUCCUUCCUCAUCCUCCACAUUCCCGCCUGGCGAGGAAGCCCAUCAGGAAGCCGUCCUGACUGGCAGGCUGGAGACCAGGCAUGAAUUUGGGGACAUGAGGGAGAAUGUCACUCUGUUGCCCCACCCUCGCACACAAGGGCACCCUACUAUCCUCCUAGUUUCCUCUUAGGACAUGGCUGGGACUGGAGUCCCGGACUGGGGACACCCAUUACUGUUUUGGGGGUGUGUGUCUUUGGGCCAAGUAUUCUCCUGAGUCUCUGAGCCUCAGUUUCCUCAGAGCACAAUGGGGAUGCUCUAGCCAAUGGCUGUGAGGAGAGGGAUGGAGAGGAGGCAGCUCACAGCUGCACCCUCCACAGAUCCCAGGGGCUGGGGUAGUUUUUCCCACACCAGAGUUCUUCAUGAGAGCUUCAGGGAGCUGGAAACAUCCUCACAUCUCCAGAUCCCAUGACAAAGAGGAAUGACUUCCGUCUUCCACAAUUCAGGGGUGGGCGCAGCACCCAGGAGCUGUGCAUUCUCAGCCAGAAGGACUUGCAGGGGAACAAAGUUGACGGUGUUGAGCAGGCCUUCCAGAGUGUUCUGUGAUCAGCCCCAGACUGAGCUUCUUCACUCUUUUUCCGUCUCUGUUUCACUCUUUUUCCGUCUCUGUUUCACUCUUUUCCGCCUGUUUGGGUUUGGUCACUCUGAGCGGUAUGCAGGAGGCAUUUACUGUGGGGAAUCAGGCCACAUGCGGUUGUGGGAGCUGGUGAAGAAGUCCAGGGAAGGCUGUGCCUCUGGGUGGGCAGGGCUGGCUGUUGUAGAGAAAAGCAGAUGUGAAUGGGGGCAAGGAGAGGCUGGAAACCACGGGCACAGAGUGGCCCUGAGUCUAUCACCUCCCACCUCUGUGACGUGGUGACCUGGUGGAGCUGGCUGCACACAUACCUAGUCCGGGGCUCGGAACCCAUCGAUGAAACAGAGGCGCCACUGGAUGGUUUCUGUCCAAGCCAACAGUGGGCACCGGCCACCCCAUGACACUGUGAGAGCCACAAAAGCACCCAGCUUAGCCAAGCUGAUGUGGUGAAAAGCCACCACUGCAAUAUGCUUCUGGAGUACCAAGCGCUUUUGGACCUUCUCAUCGUUCUUCCAGGUUCCUAUGCCUCUGCAUGGAGUGUUUGUUCCAGCCAUGGCACCAGGAAAACUCCUACAGCACCUUCAAAACCCUGCAGAGACAUCACCUCCUCUGAGAAGAAUUCCCUGAUACCUGCCCUCCAGGACUAGUCCUGUACUUCACACAUGGUGACUGCCUCUGUUGUACCUGCGAGAUGCCUCAAGGGGACAAGCUGUGCCUGUUUGACGGCUCAGGAAUUUAAACAUGCCUUUGUGGGAUGAAAUCGAAUACAUCAGUUCAUGAUGCUCUGCCAGCCAAGCUGGGGCUUCUGGUGUCCUGGGGCCACGUGAACGGAGCAGAGACACCGCCAGCUCCUAUGUUCUCCGGGGCCUUCUUGAGCUGUGGCCGCUGCUCCAAAGUCCCAGGCAGCUGAUGCGGACCUGUGUCUGCGGCGCCCACGAAAGACGGUGCUUUCAUGAGAGCGGCCUGCCCUUUCUGAGCCCUUCUGUGAGCCGUGGGAUUCCAAAUGCUCUGAAUGCAUUAGCUGACACUCACACGGUCCCCAUGAGAUAGACACCCUUCAGCAGAUGAGGAAGCCAGCCUGGAGGAUCACAGUGCAAGGGGAAGUUCUAGAGCAAAGACGAGAAGGAGGGAUCUGUGUGUGGCGGGAGAGGGCCAAGAAUACACUCCAGGUGAACCUGUACCGAGCUCCGGGAACGAGAGUAUCUGGGUAUGCAGAGCCACUUUCAGUAACAGAAGAGGGAAGAGCGACCAAGACUCUCGAGUCCUUGACUAUAUUGUCAGACACACUACAGUUUGGUAAACUGAGAACUUGGGGCCAUGGUUCUGGCUGAUUCGGGCUGCGUGGGGCUGAGCCUCCUCUGAAGGCCAGGGGUCCUGGACUGUCCAGGCUGGCUCCCCUGCAGAGGGGGCAGCCCCUACUUUAUUAAGGUUUAUACUACAAACUGAGGGUCGACCACUGAUGCCUUUGGAACAUUCGGCUUUCCUGACUCACAGAAACCCUGAGGUACAGAAAUCCCAGGGGAACACACUGCACAGUCAUCUGGGGCUAGUCUCUUGUUCUGAUUUUUUUUUUUGUGUCUCCCUCCCCGAAAUCCCUCCAACAAAUACAUGAGCCAGUCCA